rnacentral:rRNA from 1 species
GGAGUUAGCCGGUGCUUCUUCUGUGAGUGAUGUCCUUCCUGCCGGCUAUUAACCCGCAGGCCUUCUUCCUCACUGAAAGUGCUUUACAACCCGAAGGCCUUCUUCACACACGCGGCAUGGCUGGAUCAGGGUUGCCCCCAUUGUCCAAUAUUCCCCACUGCUGCCUCCCGUAGGAGUCUGGGCCGUGUCUCAGUCCCAGUGUGGCUGAUCAUCCUCUCAGACCAGCUACGGAUCGUCGCCUUGGUGAGCCGUUACCUCACCAACCAGCUAAUCCGACAUAUGCUCAUCCGAUAGCGCGAGGCCCGAAGGUCCCCCGCUUUCCCCCGUAGGGCGUAUGCGGUAUUAGCCUGGGUUUCCCCAGGUUAUCCCCCACUACCGGGCAGAUUCCUAUGCAUUACUCACCCGUCCGCCGCUCGCCACCAGGGAGCAAGCUCCCCGUGCUGCCGCUCGACUUGCAUGUGUUAGGCCUGCCGCCAGCGUUCAAUCUGAGCCAGAAUCGAACCCUGA